CCCCCCCCCCCGUGCCAGCAGCAGACAGCACUUGGCAGUCAGAUAGACUACGCAAGUUGUCAGCGCGGCAAGCGUAUACAGAUAAAGCCUGGUCCGUGAGCACGUAGAAUUUUGUCCAAUGACCCCAAGCUACCCAUCCUUAUCGCCCGCAGUGAGUGUGCGAGCGCGACAUCAACAUAAUUACGUGCUCACGGACCAGGCUUUACAAAUCUUUGUGUUGAUCGUCUCAACUCUCGCUGCGCGACCUUUAUCACCAUAAAUAGUACUGCUGCAUAAUCGAUUACAUGAAAUGUGGCUCAUAAUAACCAAUAGGGUAUUUGCCACCACCAAUCAAUUGACGUACUUUUUAAAACUCAAAACGAGACUCUCCCAUAGAUUUUGUAUGGCAAUACUAGCCAGUGACGUCACUAUUUUGUCAACUAAAUUAAGCUAUUUUAUUCAAUGAGGGCUAUCGUUUUUAUACUUAACAGUUGGCACCCCUGGCGAUUCACAGGACUUUACUCUACAGUGGCGCCAUCUUGAUGAGUGCAAUUGCAAUAUCCCUACCACUUUAGCGCUCACCAGUUGGUGCCACUGUCUUCGCUACUAGCAAGUGACAGGACCUUACUCUACAGUGACGCUAACUGGUGAGCGCUAAAACGAAAGCCCUCAUUACAAUGCAACCAAAAACUUAAUUAACAGGUAAUUUAAAAUUAAUUAAGUUUUUAAGACCAGAAUGAAGUGCCUUUUUAUCUUUUUAGUUCAUAUUUACGCAGUUGGUUUUAAAGUUGUGCUUUGGAAUUAUUGGGGAGUGGUGGCAAAUACCCAAUUCCUGAAACACCUUGUCGCCAAAAGUGAUCUUAUAUGCGGCAGUACUUUCAUAUACAUAGCGCUAAUGGGUUAUGGGCCUUAUUAGAUUAUUUUCGUUCGAUAAAAGCAACAAAAUAACAAAUCCUUAUAGCAAUAAAUUGAUCCUACACUAUGUAUGAGUAAGAUUUUCCUAAAGUCCCUAGUCUCAUCAUUACUUAAAAGGUAUUUAGUUAUUUCUUUGAUCUAUCGUUUAUAUCAAACUCAGUACAGUCAACGUCAAAUAGUUCGUGACAUCCAAAGUAGCCAAAAAGUUCGCAACGUUCUUUGUUACAAUGAGGGUUUUCGCGUAUGAAAGAUCCGCUAGAUGGCGAGACGUGGAUGUGGGGUCUGACUGCUGCGUGAUUGGUGGAUUUUGACAUAUCUGUCAAUGUCAUGUCAAAAAUAACCAGUCAUGCAGCCUUUGGACCUCGCGUCUACGUAUUGCCAUCUGGCGGAUUUUUCAUUCGCGAAAACCCUCAUUGGAAUAAGGUUGAGUUAUCGACUUUUUUGCCAUUUUGGGUGUCACUAACUACUUUACGCUGGCUGUACAGCAUUUAUAUCUAACUUUACUUUUCCAUAAUUUUCUUAUGUUCAAAGCAAUUAAAAUAUUAAGACACGGGUCUUAACACGACCACGGCUGCAGCAUCGCAGCCGAAACGUCAAGCCGUGAGUACAUAAUGUAACUCAUUAAUAAACGUCGCGUUAAGACCCAUGUCUUAGGCUGGGUUGCACCAUCUUACUUUAACUUUGACAAACGUCAAAAAUCUGUCAAACUCCAUACAAAAAACGCCGGUUAUCAUUAUAGUUACGGUCAAAGUUAGGUAGUGCAACUCAGCCUUACUAUUUAAAUUGAAAUGGAACGCGAAAGUUCAAAGCAAUUGUUUGUUUCUUUCUUGUACGAAUAACUGAUUGCAUAUCUGUGAUAUAGCAAUACUUUUUAAUAUUCUGUACAUAUUAGAAUAAAAUAAGUACGCGAGUAAACAUUUAAGCUCGCGGAAAACUGUAUUUAAUAAAUUGUCAAGUCUGAGGUAUCUUUAGCUGUAUCUUUAAGCAAUUGACAGAACUAGUUGUUGAAUAUGUAUUGUUUUUAAAGUACAACCCGAUUGAGCUAAUUGCUUACCUCGCUGAAUGCGACUCCCUCGCACUCAUCCGAAUACCUCCCCGCGUUUGCCCCAUCCAAACCAGUGGCCUAAUGCCCAUUUACACCAUCAAUCCCUAAUUUUUAAUUGAUCCCUAUGGUAACACAUAACAGGCAUUUUGUUUUCAUAAGGGUCACUUAAAAUUAGGGAUUGAUGGUGAAAACGGGCAUAAUUCACGUAGGUAUUUUGACAGUCAAGAUCUCGCGACGUUCAGAAGUCGUCCCAUUGAAAAACAGUUUUAAAUCUUUAUUUACAAGGGUCAUUUUUAUAGAACGAUUACUCGAUAGGAUCGCAACUUAGUGAUUUGUUGUCAUUGACGUUUUGUUACGUCGUCCCAUUGAAAAACAGUUCUAAAUCCGUAUUCAUAAGGUCAUUUCGAUAGAAUGGUUACUCGAUAGGAUCGCAUUCAGCGAUUUGUUGUCGUUGAAGUUUUGUUACGUGAAUGAGGCUACUGAGUGUCAACGUGACGUCACGGCUGCAAGGUGCGCAGUUAACUGGACCGGGUUGUAAAAUGUAUGUUUCCCUUAAAAUAUUGCAAUUUCCACAAUCGAAAUGUGCCCUUAUGCGGAUGAAGCUAAAGCCGUUUUUGUUUUAAUUUAUUCCAUUUUACCUUGUUAUUUUAAAAUCAAGGCACCGAAAAUCUGUGCCAAUUUAGUACCUACUUCUUAGAUGUAAAAAGUUUUGUUUAUAAAUAGGCUCUCGAGUUGUUUUUAAGGUUUUUUUGUUGUAACGUGAAGUGUUGGUUGGUUGUUGAAUUAAUAAAGUAAGAAUUGAGUCAGA